rnacentral:tRNA from 2 species
ACCUGGCUGGCUCAAUCAGUAGAGCAUGGGACUCUAGAUCUCAGGGCUGUGAGUUCAAGCCCCAUGUUAGGUG